GACGAACGCUGGCGGCGUGCUUAACACAUGCAAGUCGUACGGUAAGGCCCUUUCGGGGGUCCACGAGUGGCGCACGGGUGAGUAACACGUGAGUAACCUGCCCACAACUUUGGGAUAACGCUAGGAAACUGGUGCUAAUACUGGAUAUGUGCUCCUGCUGCAUGGUGGGGGUUGGAAAGCUCCGGCGGUUGUGGAUGGACUCGCGGCCUAUCAGCUUGUUGGUGGGGUAGUGGCCUACCAAGGCGGCGACGGGUAGCCGGCCUGAGAGGGUGACCGGCCACAUUGGGACUGAGAUACGGCCCAGACUCCUACGGGAGGCAGCAGUGGGGAAUAUUGCACAAUGGGCGCAAGCCUGAUGCAGCGACGCCGCGUGCGGGAUGACGGCCUUCGGGUUGUAAACCGCUUUCAGCAGGGACGAAGCUUUUUGUGACGGUACCUGCAGAAGAAGCACCGGCUAACUACGUG
rnacentral:rRNA from 1 species